GACGAACGCUGGCGGCGUGCCUAAUACAUGCAAGUUGAGCGCUGAAGGUUGGUACUUGUACCAACUGGAUGAGCAGCGAACGGGUGAGUAACGCGUGGGGAAUCUGCCUUUGAGCGGGGGACAACAUUUGGAAACGAAUGCUAAUACCGCAUAAAAACUUUAAACACAAGUUUUAAGUUUGAAAGAUGCAAUUGCAUCACUCAAAGAUGAUCCCGCGUUGUAUUAGCUAGUUGGUGAGGUAAAGGCUCACCAAGGCGAUGAUACAUAGCCGACCUGAGAGGGUGAUCGGCCACAUUGGGACUGGGACACGGCCCAAACUCCUACGGGAGGCAGCAGUAGGGAAUCUUCGGCGAUGGGCGAAAGUCUGACCGAGCAACGCCGCGUGAGUGAAGAAGGUUUUCGGAUCGUAAAACUCUGUUGGUAGAGAAGAACGUUGGUGAGAGUGGAAAGCUCAUCAAGUGACGGUAACUACCCAGAAAGGGACGGCUAACUACGUG
rnacentral:rRNA from 1 species